rnacentral:ncRNA from 1 species
CCGGUCGUAUGCCAAACCAUUCGAGAGGGUGGGACGGAAAGCCAAGGAUCUCUGGUACCAAAAAUGAGACAGCCUGGUUGCAAGC